rnacentral:rRNA from 1 species
AUUGAACGCUGGCGGCAUGCCUUACACAUGCAAGUCGAACGGUAACGGGCCUUCGGGUGCCGACGAGUGGCGAACGGGUGAGUAAUGUAUCGGAACGUACCUUUCAGUGGGGGAUAACGUAGCGAAAGUUGCGCUAAUACUGCAUAUUCUGUGCGCAGGAAAGCAGGGGACCUUCGGGCCUUGCGCUGAUUGAGCGGCCGAUAUCAGAUUAGCUAGUUGGUGAGGUAAAGGCUCACCAAGGCGACGAUCUGUAGCGGGUCUGAGAGGAUGAUCCGCCACACUGGAACUGAGACACGGUCCAGACUCCUACGGGAGGCAGCGGUGGGGAAUUUUGGACAAUGGGGGCAACCCUGAUCCAGCCAUGCCGCGUGAGUGAAGAAGGCCUUCGGGUUGUAAAGCUCUUUCGGCCGGGAAGAAAUCGUAUCAGCUAAUACCUGGUGCGGAUGACGGUACCGGCAUAAGAAGCACCGGCUAACUACGUGCCAGCCGCCGCCGUAAGAC